rnacentral:rRNA from 1 species
AGAAUCAACGCUGGCGGCGUGCCUAACACAUGCAAGUCGAACGAGAAAGGGGAGCAAUCCCUGAGUAAAGUGGCGCACGGGCGAGUAACACGUGAAUAAUCUACCUCCGAGUGGGGAAUAACUGAGAGAAAUCUUAGCUAAUACCGCAUAACACUUACGAGUCAAAGCAGCAAUGCGCUUGGAGAGGAGUUCGCGGCCGAUUAGUUAGUUGGCGGGGUAAUGGCCCACCAAGACGAUGAUCGGUA